rnacentral:rRNA from 1 species
UACGAAGGGGGCUAGCGUUGUUCGGAUUAACUGGGCGUAAAGGGUGCGUAGGCGGGGUUUUAAGUCAGGGGUGAAAUGCCGAGGCUCAACUUCGGAACUGCCUUUGAUACUGGAACUCUUGAGUCUGGGAGAGGUGAGUGGAACUGCGAGUGUAGAGGUGAAAUUCGUAGAUAUCGUAAGGAAGACCAGUGGCGAAGGCGGGUCUCUGGACAGUUCCUGACGCUGAGGCACGAAGGCCAGGGGGAGCAAACAGG